AGCGAACGCUGGCGGCAGGCUUAACACAUGCAAGUCGAGCGGGCACUUUCGGGUGUCAGCGGCGGACGGGUGAGAAACGCGUGGGAACGUGCCCUCUGGUUCGGAAUAACUCAGGGAAACUUGAGCUAAUACCGGAUACGCCCUUUUGGGGAAAGGCUUGCUGCCGGAGGAUCGGCCCGCGUCUGAUUAGCUAGUUGGUGAGGUAACGGCUCACCAAGGCGACGAUCAGUAGCUGGUCUGAGAGGAUGAUCAGCCACACUGGGACUGAGACACGGCCCAGACUCCUACGGGAGGCAGCAGUGGGGAAUAUUGGACAAUGGGCGCAAGCCUGAUCCAGCCAUGCCGCGUGAGUGAUGAAGGCCUUAGGGUUGUAAAGCUCUUUUAUCCGGGACGAUAAUGACGGUACCGGAGGAAUAAGCCCCGGCUAACUUCGUG
rnacentral:rRNA from 1 species